UUUUUUUUUUUUGUCUUUUUGCCUUUUCUAGGGCCGCUCCCACAGCAUAUGGAGGUUCCCAGGCUAGGGAUUUAAUCAGAGCUAUAGCUGCCAGCCUACGCACAGCCACAGCAAAGCGGGAUCCGAGCCACGUCUGCGACCUACACCACAGCUCAUGGCAACGCCGGAUCGUUAACCCACUGAGCAAGGGCAGGGAUCAAACCUGCACCCUCACGGCUCCUAGUCAGAUUCGUUAACCACUGAGCCACGACGGGAACUCCCUUCAUUUCCAUUCUUGAGGAGAUGUUGAGUUGGCAUGUCUGGGGACAGCCUGAAGAAAGCCCGUUACAGAGAUCUGGAGUUGCCAUGACCACAAGUGCUGAGGCUGCUUCUGAGCCUCCUGCUCGGAGCACCCCGAGAUUGUCUUGGACGAGGGCUACCAGAGGUGCCAGGCGGCCUCCAUCCCUCCUAUUUCAAAAGCCUAUGGCCUGUCCUUUGUUGGCCCUCCCAGGCACUGGAGGGGCAAUGGCUUCUUCCCUCUGGCACACAUCAAACCAGUUCCAGCUCUGGGCCAGGCCCUGGGAGGAGGCGGCCCCAUCCGUCACGCAUAGGAGGUAGGAUGGAAAUGCAUGUCAAGAAGAGACAAAGGCAGGCCCUGGCUUGUGGACCGUCAGCCUGCGGAGCGCUAGUCCUGGAUUGACUCCCGGAACAGAAACGGGGGCAUCCGUAGACAAACUGGGGCUGUCCGAAUAGAGCCUCUAGUUUAGCUGAUGGUAGUUUAUUAUUUUUAUGCAGCAGGCGAGUCGGGGAGCGGGACGGAGGCCUCUGAGCCGGGAAGGAACAAGGUGACCCUGGAAGCUGAGCACACGCCACCUGAUGGUGACACGCACGGGGAGCUGGGAGCCGGAUGAACCACAGACCAACGGGGAGGUUGUUACAGUCAUGUAGAAAGUGGCUUCUUGUCUGUCCUGUGGGUUGGUUCGUUUCGUUUUUGCUUCUGCUAAUCGAAGUGGCAAAGAUUUACAAACGGAUGAUGUGGCUGAGGCUGAAGAAAACGGGUCUCAUCCACUGCGGAUGGGACUGUGAACCGGUCUACCCCUGUUAGAAUGCUGUCUACCAAGGCCUAUUAACGAGUUCUUGAAAGAGUAUCAGAAAUUCUCAGAAAACACGUAUGUUCUAAAUGCUCCUCGGUGAAACAAAGACGCCAUCUAAGUAUUCAUCGACGGGAGGGGGCUGGUUAAGUGCAUUAAGUUACACGAAAGGAACUUUUUUUUUGGUCUUUUUGCCAUUUCUUAGGCCACACCUGCAGGAUAUGGAGGUUCCCAGGCCAGGGGUCCAAUCGGAGCUGUAGCCACCGGCCUACACCACAGCCACAGCCACAGCCACGCGGGAUCCGAGCCGCGUCUGCGACCUGCACCACCGCUCAUGGCGAUGCACUACAUUCAGAUACAGUCUGUAGUUUAGUUGCUAGUAGUUGAGUAACUUCGUUACAUAAUAACCCGGUACCAGUGUUACUUUCUCGGUUUGGGUAAAUGUACAUGGGGGUCGUACAUCAGGGGCUGGGAACAUCAGGGGAAGCUGGGUGAGGGGCGCAUAGGAACGCUCUGUCUGCAAUUUUUCUGCGUAUCUGCGGCUAACGUUUCUCGAGUCUUAGGACACGGCAGGCGUGGUGUGAAGCACCUUUUCCUUACACGUCCCUUAAUCCUGUCUUAGGAGGUAGAUGCUCUCAUGGCUUGUUUUACAGGUGAGGAAACUGGCUCAAAGCCACACGGUUUUUAGGUGGUAGAGCCAGGAUUCAAAUUCAGAUAUUCCUGAUUCUAAGGUCUGUGCUUUGGCAACUCUGCAUUGAAACAAAGAAACGCGGUAUGAAAUGGUUAACAGGGGUUAUCUCCGGGAGGGGGAAAUAUGCUUCUCCGCGUUCUCCCCCUCCUCCGGGGAGUGGUGGUUGCUGUGGGCAGGGAAAGGACAGGAAAAAGAAAGAAGAGAACCUGCUGUCUGAUAAGGCAGAGGUGAAGAUGGGGCUGAAGGUGGCGGCAAUGCUGGGGCUACUUGCAGAAGCAUGGAGGGUAGGAGGGGGCCAGUUAUCCUGGGGGCGGGGGGAAGAUGCCACUUCAGGCUCGGCUCUGCUGAGAUGCAGGCGCUGGAGGACAAUGACUGUUCCAGGAACAGCUGCAGGGAUGGCUCUGGGCCUGCCUCAGAGUCCCCGGGGCUUUGGGAGCCACGGCUUAAGUAGGCUCUGUGACACCAGGAGAAGGCACCCAUUCGGGGAUGAGAUGCACAGGAAGGUCAGUCUGACCGGGGGAAGCAUCACAGGGGGGCCUAAGAAGCCCCUGAGGUUCUCCACUGAGUUGCUGCUGAAGCCACUCAUAGGCUCAGGGCUAGAGAAGCGCCCUUCACAGCCUAGCUAUGUGACACCUCGGCACAGCUCUUACGGCCUAACCUCGGGGCAGGGACAGGUGGAACAUGCAUCUGGGGCAAAUCCCGGGCAGCACGAUUUUGCUCUCUGGAGAGGUUCUUGUACAUACGGGUAGACAGGUAAGACCUCUGCAUCUUUUCAGAGUCUCUGGUGCUCCUGAGUCCCCACGCCUUAUUCUUCCAUCAGCUCCUCACUGAUGACAAGCCCUCAGAGCCUCCCUAGGUACCCAGAGGAGGAGCUGCGCCCUGAGUUCAAGGAACGGACUGCGGCCAGGAGGCUGCAAAAUCAAGGGCAGCUGCUGGCCCUCGAUGGCCUUCCCAGCUUAUGCACCUGACCCUGGCACCUGGGAGGCUCCCUGGGGGGGAGGUCUCUCACCCCCAGUUUCUCCAUCUGCCUCCUCAUCAAACCUGCCUCACUCCUUGGGGCUUCUCUGGAGCAGCCUUGGGCCUCCUCUCCACCCUCCCCAGACCUCCUUGGCCCUGACAAAGGAACGGUGGGGAAGGACACCGGGCUGCAGCUGCGAGGGCUCGGGCCUGCCCUCAUGCUCUCUUCUUGAUCCAUCUCCUGUCUUUCUAUCCUCUGGGCCACUGGGCCCAGGGGCCUGAGGCCCUCCCAGGCUUUCGCCCUGCAGGGGACAAACUCCAAACUUCUCAGCUGGCCCCAGGUUCCUGCAGAGCUGCAGGAUGCGGACAGGGCUCCUGGAGUAGCUCGGAGCCCUUGCUGCCUCUCUUUGUGGAGGUGGACAGAUGGAGCUCAGGCACAAGAUAAAUAAACCAAUUAAAUCUGAGAAAACACUGUCCUGCUAUUUCUCUCCAGAGCCACCGCCCAGCCCGCCUCAGAGUGAGGGUGGAACUGUCUGCGAGCUGAGCGGCUGAUGUGGGGACCCUCCCUGUCCCCGGCUGGAGACCCUCUCCGGCAGGCCGGCCCCCGCAGCUCGGCGUGUUUUCCUAACGUGGUGAACACAUGCUCUCUCUGGAGGGUCACUGUUUCCCUCCAAGGCCCUUCAGUCCCACCGGAGGGGAGGAGCACGAAAGGCCAGGGGUCCCCCAGCUAAGAGGCAGAGAGGAAGGGGAGGGGGCUGCGAGGACCGCAGAGGCAGAGCUGGGCGGGAGGGCAGAUGGGGCUGGUCGAGGCUGGGGAGAGAGAGAGAGUGCCAGGACUUUUGGUCCUUGUGGCUGGUGAACUCCUUCCACCCCUGGACCCACCAGGAUCGGCGUAGGAACACCACUAGCCAAGAAAGAGACUGUCACUCUUGGAAGCCAAGCCUUUUUGUCUUUUUAGGGCAGCUGCUGGCCUACAGCAGAGCCACAGCAACGCGGGAUCCAAGCCACAUCUGUGACCUACACCACAGCUCACGGCAACGCUGGAUCCUUAACCCACUGAGUGAGGCCAGGGAUCGAACCUGCAACCUCACGGUUCCUCGUCGGAUUCGUCAACCACGGAGCCACGACGGAAACUCCGGAAGCCAACCUUUUUGAGAAGCACAGAAAAGGGGGAGAGAGAAGGCCCCCCCUGUAGAGGAAGUUUUCGGGGGUGCUGUACCUCCUUUCCUUACACUUGACUGUAUUUAGCAAACCAUCCACAGAGAGCCUCCGAGAUGGAAGGCAUCGUGCUAGGCGCUGGGGCGGGUGGAACAAAGCGGACGCUCCUAGUUGGGGAAGACGGCCGUCCAUACUGAGCACCCCCUGUUCCAGCCCAUCUGAUAGAACACGGAUGCUCAGCAGAGCGCUUGGUGGAAAGAAGGGCUCCUUUGUGUCUGGAGGGAGUGGCAGAGACUUCACAAAGGAGGGGACCUCUGGGCUGGCUCUUGAGGAAGGAUCGGGAGCAUGCUGAACAGAGGCUGGAUGAAGGCAUCACAGGGGGAGCCUGGGUGGAGGCCAGGCUAGGAAAAGGGAACGGUGCGCACAAGUGCCUGGUGGCACUAGAGACGGGAGGUCAUCCCGGGGGCAAAGAGGAGCGCUUGCAGGGUCAGCAGGCAGGUACUGGGGUGACAUUUUAGCAAGACCAUGCUAGCAGCGGGGUGGAGGAUGCAUGACAGAAAGACUGGAUGGUGAAUACCAAUCGGGAGAAUUUCUAGGCACUCUAAGUGAGAUAGCUUGGGACCUGAACCAAGUCAGUAGCAGGGGCUGUGGAUAAGGGGACAUAUAGAAGGGGUGAUAAAGAAUCUAUAGGACUGAAUGACCGAUGGGACACAGGGGAUGUGAGGCCAAGACAGAAGAGAGCAAGGCUGCCUAGCUUUCUGGCUUAGGUGCCUGGAAGGAGAGCGGUGUGUUCAAUAAAUAAAGGAAAGAGAACAAGUUGCGUGUGUGUGUGUGUGUGUGCACACGUGCGUGCGUGUGUGCACGUGAGCACUAGGGUACAAUAAUGGCUGUUAGAAGAGAAGUUGGGUCUAGCUGGAGAUACACCGUAUAUGAGGCUUUGCGAGUGCAGAGCAUCUCACCAGCAAAGAUCACGUCAAGAUCUCAGGACAGGUAAUUGAAAGGAUGAUCAUGCCAUCAACAGACACAAGGGCCACUGAAGGUGAAUGACGACGGGGCGGGGCUAGACGAUGGAGUCAAUGUCACGAUGUCUGCGGGACAGAGCGCGGAACACCCGCGCCAGGCGGUUGGGGAAAUGGGAUCAGAGCCGCAAGGGGUCAGGUUUGGAGCUUCAUAUUCAGGAGUCCUCUAAAUAAAGAUGAAAGCUGCAGCUGCAGGGGCGGAUGAGAUCAUCAGAUUAAAGCGUACGACGCAGAGAAGAGGGUCAAAGACAGAACGCUGGAAAACACCUACUUUCAUUUCGGGUGGGAGGAGCGCAAGGAGCCAGGAAAGGAGCUGUCUGCAAGGAGACUCGGAGCCUGGUCCCAGAAAGAGAAGAGGGUUGCCAAGAGGUGGCCAACAACGGGUUAGCCGAAUAGAUGCUGCGAAGGGUGAGAACUAAGACUCAGGGUUCAGAUUAAUGACCUUUAAGAGAAGGGUUCCGAUGAGAGGUAGGAAUGAUGGUGGCCAGGAGCCGGUGGUGGGAAGUGAGGAGGUUACAUGUCAAGAACCCUCUGGGCAGUGAGGCAGUGAGGGGAACAAGGAGCGAUGAGUGUUUAUGGGAUUUUUUUUUUUGGCUUUUUAGGGCCGCACCCAAGGCAUAUGGAGGUUCCCAGGCUAGGGGCUACAUUGGAGCUGCACCUGCCAACCUAGACCAAAAUUUGGUCCAGGUGCACUUCUGUGAUAACGCACGAGGACACAUGUCCACGUUAGCCGUCUCAAAGGACUGUGGGCCAUGCCGCUCCCUGUCCUGGGGUCUCUCCGCC
ensembl:lncRNA